GACGAACGCUGGCGGCGUGCCUAAUACAUGCAAGUAGAACGCUGAAGGAGGAGCUUGCUCUUCUGGAUGAGUUGCGAACGGGUGAGUAACGCGUAGGUAACCUGCCUGGUAGCGGGGGAUAACUAUUGGAAACGAUAGCUAAUACCGCAUAACAGUAGAUGUUGCAUGACAUUUACUUAAAAGGUGCAAUUGCAUCACUACCAGAUGGACCUGCGUUGUAUUAGCUAGUUGGUGGGGUAACGGCUCACCAAGGCGACGAUACAUAGCCGACCUGAGAGGGUGAUCGGCCACACUGGGACUGAGACACGGCCCAGACUCCUACGGGAGGCAGCAGUAGGGAAUCUUCGGCAAUGGACGGAAGUCUGACCGAGCAACGCCGCGUGAGUGAAGAAGGGUUUCGGAUCGUAAAGCUCUGUUGUAAGAGAAGAACGAGUGUGAGAGUGGAAAGUUCACACUGUGACGGUAUCUUACCAGAAAGGGACGGCUAACUACGUG
rnacentral:rRNA from 1 species